rnacentral:rRNA from 1 species
GAGUUUUGAUCAUGGCUCAGGAUGAACGCUAGCUACAGGCUUAACACAUGCAAGUCGAGGGGAAACGACAUCGAAAGCUUGCUUUUGAUGGGCGUCGACCGGCGCACGGGUGAGUAACGCGUAUCCAACCUGGCCCACCACUUGGGGAUAACCUUGCGAAAGUAAGACUAAUACCCAAUGAUAUCUCUAGAAGACAUCUGAAAGAGAUUAAAGAUUUAUCGGUGAUGGAUGGGGAUGCGUCUGAUUAGCUUGUUGGCGGGGUAACGGCCCACCAAGGCGACGAUCAGUAGGGGUUCUGAGAGGAAGGUCCCCCACAUUGGAACUGAGACACGGUCCAAACUCCUACGGGAGGCAGAA